CGCGAAUCGCCCUUCGGGGUGCCCAGGCGCGAAAACUUUACAAUGCGGGCAACCGUGAUAAGGAAACCCCGAGUGCCAGCACAGGCUGGCUGUCCACCAGUAUAAAAAGCUGGUGAAGAAAGGGCCGGGCAAGACCGGUGCCAGCCGCCGCGGUAAUACCGGCGGCUCGAGUGGUGGCCGCUUUUACUGGGCUUAAAGGGUCCGUAGCUGGAUUCACAAGUCCCUUGAGAAAUCUAUCGGCUUAACUGAUAGGCGUUCAGGGGAUACUGUGGUUCUAGGGACCGGGAGAGGUGAGAGGUACUGCCGGGGUAGGAGUGAAAUCCUGUAAUCCCGGUGGGACGACCUAUGGCGAAGGCAUCUCACCAGAACGGCUCCGACAGUGAGGGACGAAAGCUGGGGGAGCAAACCGGAUUAGAUACCCGGGUAGUCCCAGCUGUAAACGAUGCGCGUUAGGUGUGUCAGUGACCACGUGUCACUGAGGUGCCGAAGGGAAACCGUGAAACGCGCCGCCUGGGGAGUACGGUCGCAAGGCUGAAACUUAAAGGAAUUGGCGGGGGAGCAC
rnacentral:rRNA from 1 species